UCUAUAAGCGAUAUAAUAGAAUGCAUUAUUAAUGUAUUAUUAUUAUUAGUCCCUAUAUCGUUGAAGAAACUGAAUUAUUUCGAUGGUCAUUAGAAACACAAGAGAAUACGCAAUAUUUAACCUCAUUCUGCGAUUGCGCCGCGUGCGCGUGUGAGUGUGUGUGUGUGCGUGUGUGUGUGUGUGCGCGCGCGUGUGUGUGUGAACAUAUUGCUAGACUACAUGCAGUAACUCCAUGCAUGGGUUAUUUAGUACAAUGUGAUGUGCAUUAAUUUUUUGGGCGCCAUUUCAUCCUUAUUAUAAAUCUUUAUGUAAUAGAGAGGUUUUGUUUUAAUAGGGCUAUUCUUUACAUAGUUUAUUCAAGGGGCCACAUAUGAGGUGUUCACAGGCUGGAGGUCAAACACCCAUGAAAACCGCCAAGGUCAAUGAAAGUAAGCAACAAACCGUCAACAUAUUGAUGAUGUCAAAUCGGAGGCAUAUUUUGUAGUUGUGUGUAAAGUGGUGCUGUCACACUGAAACUCCGUAUUUAUUGUGAGUUUUAUGUUGCCUCAGCACAGUAAGAAGUACGGUGAAGAGAGCUUGUGAUGGUCAGCAUGCCUGUUUGAGUUUUAAUACCUCUGUGUGGACGUUGGGAAAAAUGUGGUUUACCAUUUUCAGCAUUUCUUUUUUUUCUUCCCCGCUUUGGAGAGCAACAGAAACUACGACUUGCUGCCCCAGGCCGAAUACGUCGCCGCUCUUUCUAAUUUCUUCUCCUUCUUUUUUUCCUACCCAUGGCAAGGGGGAAAGGUUUUGUGGUUUCCUUGAGAAAUAAAGAACUUCUCAGAGAGGUCGGCAGACGUGACUUUGAACUUGGAUCAGAUCCUGUGUUUCCUGCGGAGAGGGAAGAAAUGGUCUUGGGAAGAAUGGUCUAUAACGUUUAAGCUGCAGGGCUUUGAGCUGAGACGCACACAAUCCCACAAGUUUUACACUGCUUCUGCUCCUUCCGCCCUGGCUCUUACCGUUUCACGCGACAAGGAGACAAGAUAAAGUUUGAACCGUGUUGGAAUGGGACCAUGUGGAACUAGAGCUAAAUGAAAGUGAUCCCUGCAAAUCCUCAAGCCUUCUACAUGUAAAGGGAGAGCUGGAGAUGGAAGAGGCUAUGCCAGUAAGUGUCCUGCAGGAUGUAAGUGUAACAUCUUUAGCGUGUCUAUUGUCAGGAAAGGGCGCAUGCAAAGGAGAAGACAAACCAAAUCCAAAAGGAGGAAGCUGGGAGCUAUCAGACUGGUGCCAGCAGGAUGGAGGACGCCUUGACAGCUCUAAUUACGUAUCACCAUGGUGAUCAUUUUUGGCCUGUCAUGGAGGCUGGACACGACCCACCCUCUCCACAGUUUACUCUGAUUGGACUGUCACUUGCCAGGUGGAUAUUUGACGGGAGAGGCACGAAUGUGUCCAGCCAAUGGAACCUGGCGUCUGCUUGCAUGCCCAUCAACACUGUGGACUCCUACACAUAAACAAAUUUUCAAACAUGUAACAUAGAAAACUAAGCAGUUCUAUUUAUGACAGAUCCAUCUGAUAUGCAGAGACAUGUGGUUGUCGGUUUCCUUCUGACUAAAUCACUCUCCCUAAAGAUUCACACAUUUGUGAGGAACAUGCAUUUCAGAUCUUCCUGUGCAAGUAUUUUUGCUUUAAGCAAUCAUACAUUUACGCAGUUCUUUUUUAUCUUAUCUACCUGUGGUUAAAUCCAAAAAUGUCUUUACUUUUUCCAGCCCAUGUCACUUCAAGCGAACUGUCUAUUAAUAUAAUCAGACUUUUCUUCCCUUAUCAAGCUGUGAUGCAGUGAGCGGACGCUUCACUGACCAUUAACUGACCUCCUGGUGUUUGAAUUUUUAGCUCUUGACUGCUCAGUAAUAUACCACGUAUUUAACCAUGAGCCUAAGCCAGAUCUCCAUGGCUGCAUUUUAAAAGAUAUAUUUUAAGGAUCCUGGGCCAUAUUCAGAGUUGACUUAUGCACAUUGGUAUGCAGACCUCAUGUAACUGCAGACUUACAUGCUAUUCAGACAGCUGUGUGUGAGUUGCUUGUGUGAGGCAAACUUUGCCAAAAACAGGAGUUUGUCACAGUUACGUACGAUUCUGACCUUGAACUUAAGAUGAUUUUUCUUGCGUGAUAUCAGCUUGAGAAAAGAGCAGUAUUAAGUCCAGUGUCACUGUUUGACAAUUUGUUGUAACCACAAUAUGUCAUGCUUAAAUUCAUGUUUUGGGCUAUAUAUUAAAAACUAUGGAAUUCCAUUCAAAGCCAAUAUUAAAUACACAAAUAUGACAUGAUUAAUUAACUAAUUGUAUCAUCCCUUCAAAGUUCACAGUUUUUUACUUUUUCACUGAGUGGAUCGGAGCAGAGAUGAAUGCUUGGUCAGCUUAUCAUUCACACAGUGGGCAUUCUUUAUCAAGCAAAUAGAAUUAACAAAAGGUUGGCAUUAGUUUAUUAAUUUGGAAUUCAACAUAGUGAGUUAUCCUGAAUCCUGAAUAAGAUUAUACUGAAUAUCCUAUAUCAUGCACACAUUACAUGACUUCAAGACUUCAAUUUAAUAUCUUGUGGCUACAUAAAACUGUCAAUGCACAAUUUAAAGAAAUAUAAUAUAUUUUUUUGUGGACCACGUCACUGGUUGCAACCCUCAACAGUAGAAACAACAAUUUUUACCUCUGCCCAAGCUUCAUGCUUUCUGCCACUGCCAAAAAAGAAGUUGUGCUGGGUCAAAUAAUGUAGUUAUUUUGCAGUGGUUAAUGUGAUAAUUACUGUUAUAACUAUUCAUGCAACAAUAUAUUGGUAAUAAACCCAGAUUUUUGUUUUAAUGCUUACCAUUUAUAUAUCAUUGUAUUAGUCUUUCUUUUUUAUUUAUUUUAAAUAAAUUAUUUAUUUAUUUGUUUGUUUGUUUGUUUAUAUUAAUCUUUUGUUUAUGUUACAUCAUAUUUCAUUUGACAGCAAAGGGAAAAAAGUGAUCUGAUUCUUCAGUCUGCAUUAAGUACCCCAUUUCUUUCUGUGCUUAAAGGAAGGUGAUUUUGUUUAAAGCCGGUGGUCUAGACACUAUUGGAAAACCUCAUCUCAGAUGCUUCUGCUUAAGAAAAAUAUGGCAACAUCAGAGGUGUGAACUACAUGCAUUUAAGGUUAAUAAUCUGAAUUGGCCUUCAAGAAAAUUAGCUGAAAAAUUCAGAAUUUAAGGCCUGACUGAGCUUGUAUGAACAUCUAAGCUGAACUGAUUUAGGAAGAGAGAUUAAUUCAUUCAUCUACAAUCACCACUUUAUCCUGGUGAGGAUGGAUUGUGGACCUAUCCUGAGAACACAAUGGAAAUACACUUGAAUGGGACACCAGUCAAUUGCAGGGCAAGUAACAGAGAUCUUUAAUAGUAUUUCUGUUGAGUUAAAUGCCUAUAUUUAAGCAGCCAUCCAAAACCUGUGCGAGAACCCUGGUUACAACGCACUGAAUUAACAGUGACAAGGUCAUUGCUACCCAAUUAUGUGGAACUAAUUUGGGGUAGAAACAUGGUCUGGUAUAUUCUGGAUGAUUUUAUAGCUGUUGAGCAUGGUAACAUAUCUGUUUAAUUUCAUUCAAGCAUAACAUUUCUUCCCUUUUUAAAGUUUUCGAUUAGCUUUUUACAGCUAAUGCAAAUUUAGUGCUGUUAUUUUCUGUAUCACCCUUCAUGGUCAGAAUCGUCACAAACAGAACUUAGCAUAAUAUACUUUUCGAUAAAUAUUCAUGGGUUGACCCACUCCAAAGUUGAAACUCUUUAUUCAUGGGUCAUGAAUACUUAAGCCUUUUUUUCCUUCAGAUUAAUUUCCUCUUCUGUCUGUGCUGAAUGGGACCAUUACAGUUGUGCAGCUUUAAUUAAGCAGUGGCUCUCAAUACAGAAGGCUCUACCAUCUGGUUGUUGUCGUGUACACUGCAAACAUAAGGGCACUGACAAAAAUGAGACGAGCAUUACAACACCAAGCCAAAAAAACUCAAACUUCAAAUUAGAGAUGCCAGCACAAAUGUUCCUCAGAAUGUCAUAUAUUACAACAUGCAAUAGCACAUGCAACUGUCUUUCAUGCAAUAGCACUGCAACUUAUUUGUUGCUAGGUAUAGUGCAAAUACAAUCCAAAAAUGAAAGCAUGCUUUAAUACAUAUGUGUGAUAGUAUAUCGAUUUAUGAUCAUUUUGAAUUUAUCAUUCAGUCCAAUAGAUCAUACGGGACGUUUUUAUUUCUGAGAGUAAAAUCUUGACAUUAUAGUGGCAUGAUCUGGCAUGGCUCUUAUAUGUGUGCUGAACCUUAAGUGAAACCUGGAGCAUAAUCUUGUUCAAGAUCUCCUGACCUACGCUGCAAACUGAAGCACAGCAGCUGUAAGAAAUUUCAGACAGCUUUUUAUUACUGUAUAAACUCCAUUGCCCACAAGUGCCCAGGGAUACAUGUCAGUCACUGUGAAAUAUGACUGUUUAUCUGGCUAAUAACGAUUAGAGGUCAUGGCAGUGCAAAUCGUAUUAUGUCAUGCAGUAUUCAAUCCUGCUAUUUUUCAAUGCUGAUUCCACUUACUCUACACAGAUGUGAAAAUGUUUUAGAUGCAGUGGAUGAAAAUAUGACACCACUUCAGCAAUACCUCA